GACGAACGCUGGCGGCGUGCUUAACACAUGCAAGUCGAACGGAAAGGCCCUGCUUUUGUGGGGUGCUCGAGUGGCGAACGGGUGAGUAACACGUGAGUAACCUGCCCUUGACUUUGGGAUAACUUCAGGAAACUGGGGCUAAUACCGGAUAGGAGCUCCUGCUGCAUGGUGGGGGUUGGAAAGUUUCGGCGGUUGGGGAUGGACUCGCGGCUUAUCAGCUUGUUGGUGGGGUAGUGGCUUACCAAGGCUUUGACGGGUAGCCGGCCUGAGAGGGUGACCGGCCACAUUGGGACUGAGAUACGGCCCAGACUCGUACGGGAGGCAGCAGGGGGGAAUAUUGCACAAUGGGCGGAAGCCUGAUGCAGCAACGCCGCGUGCGGGAUGACGGCCUUCGGGUUGUAAACCGCUUUCGCCUGUGACGAAGCGUGAGUGACGGUAAUGGGUAAAGAAGCACCGGCUAACUACGUG
rnacentral:rRNA from 1 species